rnacentral:sRNA from 1 species
AGACUGUGUCCCUGGAAUCAGAAAGAGGAAAGUAACCUUUCUACCUGCCCACCUUGAAGUUAGAAACUUCUGGAGAGUGGAAGAGGUGCUGGUUGGUACAGAGGUAAGGAGCCCGCAAACUCGAGAGGAGAGGUCACUGGAGGCAAAGGUUUGCUUGUUUUAAAUAGCAUGUCCACUUGGAGCAGUAUGGAGGGGUCCGGGGUAGACUGGGGUCUAUUGGGGUCCAGUUGAAAUGUCCUGGGUGAGAUGGGGAGAAGAGAAAAAGGCGAGAGGUGGACAUUGGGCUUUGUUCAUAGGCUGUGGCAAAUGGCUCUAACAUCCAACUGAGGUGCCUGCAAGAUUGACAGGCACAGCUGCUGACCUCAGGAGAGUCUCCCGGGGACCAGUGUGGUCAUAGAGCAGUUUCGUCUAUCAGGCCUAGCUACAGCCCAACCCCCAUUACCACCCGGAUCUAAACCCAUCUGAAACCAUUGCUACGAAGAUUCUAUUGCUGACUGUGCUCCGACAUGCUCCCACAAAUAAAAUGUACUUCUUGGCACAGGACUGCAUUCCUGAACAUACCUUUUUGGGGUUCAAGCAGCAAGCAUUACAGGGCUUUAAACACUCGAUAAAGUAUAUUCCCAGACAUUUCACAGGUAUCCUAUAUCUAUAUAUGAAGAUAAAACAUUCAUUUUUAUACUCUUUAUUGAAAGGUGCACGGAUAACCACAAGUAAACACAUAAAAUAAUAAGGAUGAAUUUUCACCAACUAAAAAUAUCCAGCUCAUCAGCAGCCAGAUCAAAACAAGAACACUGCCCAUUCUCCAGAAGCCCCUUAAGCACAUUGAAGCUUAACACAGUUUUGAAAUAAGGCUACCAAAAAAAAUACAAUCUUUCUCUGACAUAACAUGAUAGUAAUUUUGCAGUGAGCUGUUAACUUGGGUCUGGUAUUCCACCAUUGGCAGGCUUCCGUUUCCCUUUUGCUCCUAAAAACCAAAUCUUUAAGCAAAACUCCCAACUCUUCCCUCAUGAUCAUUUGCGUCUUUAGGCCCGUCAGCAGAUUCUGUUAAAUGAACUGGCAAAUUGGUGAGGAGCAGAGGAUAUGAAUCUGUAUUAAGCAGCAGUGAGUAGGCAGAGAAGUUGAAUAUCAUGUAGCAAAUAAGUGGGACUGUCCCUCAGUCAUUUGACUCAGGAUUCUAAGCACACACCCCAGGCAGUGCUAGCCUCUUAACAGCUUCCUAUUGGGUGUUGCUUUGUAAAGGUGAUUAUCAUAGAAGUUGUUUGUUCUUUUUCUUUGGUUUUUCUUCAUCUUCAUUUAUACUGAUAGUGUCAGAUCUUCUAUAGGACACUUUUAUAGGACACUGAUGUAUUUGUCUCACUCUUCUAAUUAUACUUCCAUAGCAAUGCAGAUCUAAUAUCUUCUUGUAUACAUAUGCAUACAUAGACUCAAACAGCAUGUGCAUGUCUAUAUAGAUAGGAUUUGAACUGAGAGAGGCAUGUGACCUUAGGAGUAGCAAGUGUAUUUUUAAACAUGAGUGGAGAUCUAUGGUUUUCUGACUUUGUUUUGUUUUGUUUCUUCUGGAACAGGGAAGAAGCCAUUGCAGAUGGGAGUGGGUGACCCAGCAUUUCCUGCUACCGAUGACCAAGCAUCGUCUCCUGGAGUCACGUGUCGGUCCUUCAGUGUCCAUGCUCACUCCACCAUGUGUCUAUCAGAGAGAGCAAACACUGGUGUCUUUUCCUGGGCGUGACCUGCAGCCAAGGAAGCCUGCCGAGAGGCAACCCUUAAGGCUUUCCGUUGUGAAUGCAAAGGAGCCUGGAGCUCUUCAUGCUGGGUCCAACAGAGGGUACCUGGCUCUCCAAAACGAUCGCCCACUGGUUUAGACAGUGUUCAGUUCUGCCAGCUCCUGAUUCGGUGAGUGGAGUUUUCCCUAUUUGACAAUAUAAUGCUAUCCUAUCUUUUCGAAGCAGAAAAUUUGACACUCAUUCUGAAGAAGGGCCAUCUUCCCCUUCAAAAUAAAUACCUACCAGCAUUAUCUUUGGGCUGGAUAGUUCUGUUCCCACUUGACACCAGUUAGAAUAAUUUUGGAAGAGGGAAACUUAAUGGAAAAAAAUGCCCCCACCAGAUUGGCCCGUGGGCAAGUCUUUGGUGCGUUUUCUUUAUUGAUGUGAGAGGGCCCUUGUCAUUGUGAGUGGCGACAUCCCUGGGCUGGCAGUCCUAUAAAACUGCAAGCUGAGAAGUCCAAGAGGAGCAGGGAGCACAGCUCUGCGUCAGUUCCUGCCUCCAGGUUCCUGUCUUGAGUUCCUGUCCUGGCUUCCUGGGAUAAUGAAGUAGAAGGCGUAAAAUGAAACGAACCCUUUCCUCCUUGAGUUGCUUUUGACCAUGGCGUUUCAUCACAGAAGUAGAAAUCCUCAGACAAUCUACAGCCACUCUUUAUUCUUUUGCCAUUCAUUUAAACAUUUCCCUUUUCUAUACUCUAAAACCAGAACACGUCUCAAACACACAAAAACGCUUGCGAUUUGCAUCCCAUCACAUCCAAGGGAUGGAAGUGAUUUCUAACGUCUAAGUACUAGAUAUUGUGCCCAACAGGUUUUAAAUAGCAACAAGUUCUCCCAAGAUGCUACUUGGAGACUGCUAAUGCCUACUGUGCUCAAAGGCAAUCCACAAGUGGGCAAAACCAGCCUCCCAGGAACUUGAUCCUCACUCCAGGCACCAGAAUCUACAUUUAACAAGGAUCCUGGUCACAUGAACGCACAGUAAAACCUGCUCCCUCACCUGGCCCUCUUAACACUCUUUUAGAGUACUAAAAGGUCAUUUGCAAAAGUCUGUAGAAGGGAAUAGGAGUUGUGUUUUCUGACAUCAUUUUAUCUGAAUACACAAUUGUUGGGGUUUUCUCUUUCUUUCUCUUGUCUUCCCUUUCCUUUCCCUUUUUGCUUUCCUUUUUCAGACAGAAUCUUACUCUCUGGUCAAGUCAUCUUCCAUUCAUGAUCCUCCUGCCUGUGCUCUCAAGCUCUGGGACACCAGGCAUGCAGCACCAUCACAGCUGUCCCAUUUCUUACAGAAGAUGCAUAACCAAUGCCUCCGCUAAUUCAAGUGGUCAGCCCUGGUGACGUCACUCCCUCUGUUCGCGCUUGCAGCCAUUUAUGCUAACAAUUCUGAUCCUGGAAGAUACUCUGCAUGGUCCCAGAAGAGAAAUAUUCAUCAUUGUCACCCAGCUACAAACCCUGCAGCCUAUGACAGUCACCUGCCUGCAGAUACACUGGAGCAAUAGUGACACAAAUGUUAUGGGAGUCACCAACCACUUUCUGAUUGGAUUUAAGGCCUGAUUGGAUUGGAGAUGGAACCCAUAAUGGACGCUGUUAAAAUGGCUAAGAACCUGAGAGUGGGGAGGUCAUGAGCCUAGGGGAAAAACCUACCACUGUGAUCCUGCUAAAGAAGUGCAGCAGAUUGUGAGUAAGCGUACAAACGAAGACAGUAACUCCAGAAGUGCGGAGAACGAAGUCAAGGGAUGUGCUGAAUGUGGGAAGGUGACACUGGUGAGGAAGGAAUCAGGUUGCCAUCUAUGGAGUAGAGCAUGGCAGUCGUGAAGACAUCAGGGGAGAGACCGCUCCAGCAGCAAAUGCAAGGAUGCUAGGUAGGCACUCAGCAUGUGUGUGGCCAUGAGUUUCCCAGGGAGCAAAAGGUUUUCUAAAAGAUGUCCCUCUGUCCUGCAGCACCAAGUGCCUAACAAGGGCAUCAGCUGCUUAGUCCUAAGACUCUCUCCCAUGAGGAGUCUGUCCACCUUCCUGGGACUGGCACAGUGUAGGGCACCUAUUAGGAACUAAGACUGAGGAAGGAAGGAAUGGGUUCUUGCGAGUAGCUCCCAGCCCAUUCAUGAACCUAAACUCAUGACUAAGCUUGAUUUCUGUGUGGCAGUGUUUACUGGCACAACCUUGUUAUUUUAAUCAACCUGAAGCAUUGGGCUCGUCCAUGGCUUGGGAUAGCCGGUGUAGAACUGGUUUUCGAUUAAUUGGAAAGGCCCUUUUAGCCCCAUGGGACACAUCCAGAAGGGCUAUUAUUUGCAUCAACGUAGUGACCCCUCCCCCUUCCAGUUGCAUGUCUGAAUGAAAGUCUUUCCUUGGUGAUCGUCACCAAGCUCAGUGUUGCGACAAACAUUCCUUGGACCAUUUUUUGUUAAAAAAAAAAAUGGAAUUUACAACAUGGAGUUUACACUUAAGGCUAAGGGCUUGCCAAUGGGCUGACCCCUGGGUCUGACCUCACUUUGGCUUUUAAUUUUGUCUUGGGUAACGUGCCUUCUGUUCGAUGACCAUGAGCCGCAGAGUCUGCGAGUAGACUCUAAAUUUAUGUUAUCCACUAAGCUCGAUCUGUGCUGUAGGUACUUUGAGCAUCCAACACGCACUAAGAAUCAUGAUGUCAGUACCUACGGCGAAGCAGGGAGGACCCGGCAAAAGCAAACAGCUACGCUUCCACAGAACCUAUGGAAGGCCGGUUAAGAAUGCCAAUAUGGACGUGGGGAGGCUUGAGGCUCUCGGAGUGUGGCAUGAUCAUAGCGAUGGGAGAAAGGUCACUCCAGGUUGAAAAAGUCUUCCACUGGGUGUGGA